rnacentral:rRNA from 1 species
GACGAACGCUGGCGGCGUGCUUAACACAUGCAAGUCGAACGGAAAGGCCCUGCUUUUGUGGGGUGCUCGAGUGGCGAACGGGUGAGUAACACGUGAGUAACCUGCCCUUGACUUUGGGAUAACUUCAGGAAACUGGGGCAAAAACCGGAAAGGAGCUCCUGCGCCAUGGGGGGGGUUGGAAGGUUUCGGCGGUUGGGGAUGGACUCGCGGCUUAUCAGCUUGUUGGUGGGGUAGUGACUUACCAAGGCUUUGACGGGUAGCCGGCCUGAGAGGGUGACCGGCCACAUUGGGACUGAGAUACGGCCCAGACUCCUACGGGAGGCAGCAGUGGGGAAUAUUGCACAAUGGGCGGAAGCCUGAUGCAGCAACGCCGCGUGCGGGAUGACGGCCUUCGGGUUGUAAACCGCUUUCGCCUGUGACGAAGCGUGAGUGACGGUAAUGGGUAAAGAAGCACCGGCUAACUACGUG